rnacentral:rRNA from 1 species
AGUGAACGCUGGCGGUAGGCCUAACACAUGCAAGUCGAACGGCAGCACAGUAAGAGCUUGCUCUUACGGGUGGCGAGUGGCGGACGGGUGAGGAAUACAUCGGAAUCUACUUUUUCGUGGGGGAUAACGUCGGGAAACUUACGCUAAUACCGCAUACGACCUACGGGUGAAAGCAGGGGAUCUUCGGACCUUGCGCGAUUGAAUGAGCCGAUGUCGGAUUAGCUAGUUGGCGGGGUAAAGGCCCACCAAGGCGACGAUCCGUAGCUGGUCUGAGAGGAUGAUCAGCCACACUGGAACUGAGACACGGUCCAGACUCCUACGGGAGGCAGCAGUGGGGAAUAUUGGACAAUGGGCGCAAGCCUGAUCCAGCCAUACCGCGUGGGUGGAGAAGGCCUUCGGGUUGUAAAGCCCUUUUGUUGGGAAAGAAAAGCAGCAGGUUAAUACCCCGCUGUUCUGACGGUACCCAAAGAAUAAGCACCGGCUAACUUCGUG